rnacentral:rRNA from 1 species
UACGUAGGGGGCAAGCGUUGUCCGGAAUCAUUGGGCGUAAAGGGCGUGUAGGCGGCCCGGUAAGUCCGCUGUGAAAGUCCAGGGCUCAACCCUGGAAUGCCGGUGGAAACUGUCGGGCUAGAGUCCGGAAGAGGCGAGUGGAAUUCCUGGUGUAGCGGUGAAAUGCGCAGAUAUCAGGAGGAACACCAAUGGCGAAGGCAGCUCGCUGGGACGGUACUGACGCUGAGACGCGAAAGCGUGGGGAGCAAACAGG